CACGUAGGGGACGAGCGUUGUCCGGAUUCAUUGGGCGUAAAGCGUGCGCAGGCGGUCUUGCAAGACAGAUGUGAAAUCCCCGGGCUCAACCUGGGAACUGCAUUUGUGACUGCAAGGCUGGAGUGCGGCAGAGGGGGAUGGAAUUCCGCGUGUAGCAGUGAAAUGCGUAGAUAUGCGGAGGAACACCGAUGGCGAAGGCAAUCCCCUGGGCCUGCACUGACGCUCAUGCACGAAAGCGUGGGGAGCAAACAGG
rnacentral:rRNA from 1 species